UGCGCAGGCGGCUUACUAAGUCAGUGGUGAAAUCUUGCGGCUCAACCGUAAAAUUGCCAUUGAUACUGGUAAGCUUGAAUUCAGUUGAGGUUGGCGGAAUGUGUAAUGUAGCGGUGAAAUGCUUAGAUAUUACACAGAACACCGAUUGCGAAGGCAGCUAGCUAAACUGACAUUGACGCUGAGGCACGAAAGCGUGGGGAGCGAACAGGAUUAGAUACCCUGGUAGUCC
rnacentral:rRNA from 1 species